rnacentral:rRNA from 1 species
UGACCUCGAAUCAGUCGUGAUUACCCGC